rnacentral:lncRNA from 8 species
AUGUUCCGGGAUUCAUCCAAUGGCAUUGAGGAGUACACCACCUCAGUCAUCGGCUUCAUCAAUAAGCGCAUCGACGACGUCGUCCCCACAGUGACUGUACAUACAUAUCCCAACCAGAAGCCAUGGAUUACAGGCAACAGCCGCAUCGAGCUAAAGGCUAGAGCUGCCACUUUCAAGGAGUGGGAGACUAAUCCGGACGCUUAUAAGAAAUCCCGCUAUGCCCUCAGACGAACCAUCAAACAAGCAAAGCGUCAAUACAGGAUUAAGAUUGUAUCCUACUACACCGGCUCUGAUGCUCGUCGGAUGAGGCAGGGCUUGAAAACUAUUACGGACUACAAAGAGAAACCCAGACGCAAACUGCCCAGUGACACGAGCCUACCAGACGAGCUAAAUGCCUUUUAUGCUCACUUCGAGGCAAGCAACACUGAAGCAUGCACGAGAGCACAAGCUGUUCUGGAUGACUGUGUGAUAAUGCUCUCGGUAGCCGAUGUGAACAAAACCUUUAAACAGGUCAACAUUCACAAAGCCGCGGGGCCAGACGGAUUACCAGGACGUGUACUCAAAGCAUGCGUGGACCAGUGUCUUCACAGACUUGUUCAACCUCUCCCUGACCGAGUCUAUAAUACUUACCUGUUUCAAGCAGACCACCAUAGUCCCUGUGCCCAAGAAAGUGAACGGACUUGCUUAAAUGAUUACCGCCCCAUGGCACUCACGUCGGUAACCAUGAAGUGUUUUGAAAGGCUGGUCAUGGCUCAGAUCAACAGCAUCCUCCCGGACACCCUAGACCCACUCCAAUUUGCAUACCGCCCCAACAGAUCCACAGAUGUCGCAAUCUCAAUCGCACUCCACACUGCCCUUUCUCACCUGGACAAAAGGAACACCUAUGUGAGAAUGCUGUUAAUUGACUACAGCUCAGCGUUCAACACCACAGUGCCCAGGAAGCUCAUCACUAAGCUAAGGAUUCUGGGACUAAACCUCUCCCUUUGCAACUGGAUUCAGGACUUCCUGACGGGCCGCCCCCAGGUGGUAAGAGUAGGCAACAACACGUCUGCCACGCUGAUCCUUAACACUGAGGCCCCUCAGGGGUGUAUACUUAGUACCCUCCAGUAUUCCCUGUUCACCCACGACUGCGUGGCCAAACACAACUUCAGCACCAUCAUUAAGUUUCCUGACGACACAACAGUGGUAGGCCUGAUCACCGACAAUGAUGAGACGGCCUAUAGGGAGGAGGUCAGAGAACUGGCAGUGUGGUGCCAGGACAACAACCUCUCCCUCAAUGUGAGCAAGACAAAGGAGCUGAUCGUGGACUACAGGAAAAGGAGGGCCGAAAAGGCCCCCAUUAACAUUGACGGGGCUGUAGUGGAGCGGGUCGAGCGUUUCAAGUUCCUUGGUGUCCACAUCACCAACGAACUAUCAUGGUACAAACAUACCAAGACAGCCGUGAAGGGGGCCCAACAAAACAUUUUCCCCCUCAGGAGACUGAAAAGAUUUGGCAUGGGUCUCCUCAAAAGGUUCUACAGCUACACCAUUGAGAGCAUCCUGACCGGUUGCAUCACCGCCUGGUAUGGCAACUGCUCGGCAUCUGACCGUAAGGCGCUACAGAGGGUAGUGCGAACGGCCCAGUACAUCACUGGGGCCAAGCUCUCUGCCAUCCAGGACCUAUACAAAUAG